CUGUUUUUCCUUCACAGGCUCUGUUGUUUCUAUAAAAGUCAGUGCAACAGGAGCAGGCGAGUGGCGUAAGCUGUCCUUCAACCGUGAAGAAUCAAUGGCAUUGCUCCCCUCAGCAGUAGCACCAAUAAUCGUCCCAUCAUUAGGUUGACGAAUAUAAGGAGGCAAAUCCUACUGUAUAAUCUGCGAAUUCUGGAAGAAUUGAAAAUACGAGCAU
rnacentral:lncRNA from 1 species